rnacentral:rRNA from 1 species
CCUACGGGUGGCAGCAGUGGGGAAUAUUGGGCAAUGGAGGCAACUCUGACCCAGCAACGCCGCGUGAAUGAUGAAGGUCUUCGGAUUGUAAAGUUCUGUGAUGGGGGAUGAACACAAUGACGGUACCCCAAUAGCAAGCCACGGCUAACUACGUGCCAGCAGCCGCGGUAAUACGUAGGUGGCAAGCGUUAUCCGGAUUUACUGGGUGUAAAGGGAGCGUAGGCGGCGAUGCAAGUCAGAAGUGAAAGCCCGGGGCUCAACUCCGGGACUGCUUUUGAAACUGUGUUGGUAGAUUGCAGGAGAGGUAAGUGGAAUUCCUAGUGUAGCGGUGAAAUGCGUAGAUAGUAGGAGGAACACCAGUGGCGAAGGCGGCUUACUGGACUGUAAAUGACGCUGAGGCUCGAAAGCGUGGGGAGCAAACAGGAUUAGAUACCCUUGUAGUC